UACGUAGGGUGCGAGCGUUAAUCGGAAUUACUGGGCGUAAAGCGUGCGCAGGCGGUUGUGUAAGACAGAUGUGAAAUCCCCGGGCUUAACCUGGGAAUGGCAUUUGGGACUGCAAGGCUUGAGUGCGGCAGAGGAGACUGGAAUUCCUGGUGUAGCAGUGAAAUGCGUAGAUAUCAGGAGGAACACCGAUGGCGAAGGCAGGUCUCUGGGCUGACACUGACGCUCAUGCACGAAAGCGUGGGGAGCAAACAGG
rnacentral:rRNA from 1 species